rnacentral:rRNA from 1 species
GACGUAGGAGGCGAGCGUUGUCCGGAGUUACUGGGCGUAAAGCGCGCGCAGGCGGUCCCGCAGGUCACCUGUGAAAGCCCCCGGCUCAACCGGGCGGAGGCGGGUGAAACCGCGGGACUGGAGGGCGGCAGAGGGUCGUGGAAUUCCCGGUGUAGUGGUGAAAUGCGUAGAGAUCGGGAGGAACACCCGCGGCGAAGGCGGCGCCUGGACCGACCCUGACGCUGAGGCGCGAAGGCCGGGGGAGCGAACGGGAUUAGAAACCCCAG